UGAAUUCAAGCGAGGGUGUCUGGAACAGAGUGGAGUGUCUUCAGAGACAGUGGUGAACAGAGGUACUACCUAAUGAUAGACGGCGCUGGCUGACUCCCAACAGGUAGAAAGAUGGCUCUGCUGAGAUGAGCUCUUAAUUAAUGCACUGAGAGCCUGCGAGUCCCACCUCUCAACAGGAAUGAUUGACGUCCAAGGAUACAUAAAUUACACUAAUUGAGCUCUGCCUCCAUGUAGGCUUUCUACAGCCAACUCAUCAGAGAAGCUAGGAUUGUGUACAACCAAUAUCUUCAUUUGACAACCCUAAUGAGCAAGCUGCUACAAAAUUGAAAGAGAGCACACCUUUUGGAUUUCCCACUCUUCUAAGACAACGUGGUUGGAAACUUGAGUGCAAGCAAGGGAACAAAGGACCCCUUUAAAGAAGAAGCAAAGGUAGAGUUCAUGGACUUUAAGGAAAAUUGGAGAUCUUGGUGGUUUUCAUGACUCAAGACAAAGAAUGAAGAGCAGGGAGGCAGAAGGUGGUUUAAUAUUGAAGGUUCAAUAUUGGGUGCUAGAAUGCCAGUGUCAAGGGUAAAAAGUUAUAGGAAGUGACAACUUGAGCAGCAAAAUAAGAGAGCAAGAGCAAUGAUUUGUGAACAUUGAUGUGUUGGAGACAUUCAGCUGAAAAAUUCAACCAAGGUUAUAGUGGGAAGUGGACUUUAAUACAUAAUUCAAAAACCACCUUAACUUACUGCAGUUUUAAAUGAGAUGUUGAAAUGACUGUCCACUAAUAGUGCAAAGUGACUCUUCCUCAGUCAUUUCUCAGGCCAGCAGGUGUUGCCCAAGCAGGGAGAUUUUGUUCUGUUGUCUGAGAGCUUUCAGUCAAUCUGAUUGCAUUUGACCAGGGAAUCAUCAGUAAAGAUGUCACUUCCACCUUUUGCCCUCAGGCAUAGUCAGUGCGUAAAGGAAAAGAAACUCCAGCUGGCCAAACCUCUCCACUGAAGGUCAAGAAUCUUUGGCCCUUUCCUCCCAGGCCUCACCAUCCUUCACUAUUAGCCAAGUAUUGUACCCUUUUAUUUAGGGGUAUCAUUUAUAAAAUUCUUACAUGUAAAAUAUUCAUUUAGCUUAGCAGUGCAGAGAUACUGCAGCAGAAAAUGAGGGGAUCAAAACUUGAACAAUGAGCCUUGGCUGUGUGAGUACCCUACAUUUGUUCUCGGGGUGUAUUGACCUCCCACAUCUUUGUAACCCACAUUUCAAAGCUCUCUAGAAAUAAGGAAA